CCUACGGGGUGCAGCAGUGGGGAAUAUUGGGCAAUGGAGGCAACUCUGACCCAGCAAUGCCGCGUGAGUGAUGAAGGUACUUUUAUUGUAAAGCUCUUUUCUUUGGAACGAAUAAAUGACGGUACCAAAGAAAUAAGCCCCGGCUAACUACGUGCCAGCAGCCGCGGUAAUACGUAGGGGGCAAGCGUUGUUCGGAAUGACUGGGCGUAAAGGGUGUGUAGGUGGUUUGAUAAGUUAGAUGUGUAAUACCCAGGGCUUAACUCGGGUGCUGCAUCUAAAACUGUUAGACUUGAGUACUGGAGAGGAUAGGGGAAUUCCUAGUGUAGGGGUGGAAUGCGUAGAUAUUAGGAGGAACAUCAGUGGCGAAGGCGACUAUCUGGACAGCAACUGCCACUGACAUUGAUGCUCGAAAGUGUGGGUAUCAAACAGGAUUAGAUACCCUUGUAGUC
rnacentral:rRNA from 1 species